rnacentral:rRNA from 1 species
AAAACGACUCUCGGCAACGGAUAUCUCGGCUCUCGCAUCGAUGAAGAACGUAGCGAAAUGCGAUACUUGGUGUGAAUUGCAGAAUCCGUGAACCAUCGAGUCUUUGAACGCAAGUUGCGCCCCAAGCCUUCUGGCCGAGGGCACGUCUGCCUGGGUGUCACAA